rnacentral:rRNA from 1 species
GAUGAACGCUGGCGGCGUGCCUAAUACAUGCAAGUCGAGCGAACGGACGAGAAGCUUGCUUCUCUGAUGUUAGCGGCGGACGGGUGAGUAACACGUGGAUAACCUACCUAUAAGACUGGGAUAACUUCGGGAAACCGGAGCUAAUACCGGAUAAUAUUUUGAACCGCAUGGUUCAAAAGUAAAAGACGGUCUUGCUGUCACUUAUAGAUGGAUCCGCGCUGCAUUAGCUAGUUGGUAAGGUAACGGCUUACCAAGGCAACGAUGCAUAGCCGACCUGAGAGGGUGAUCGGCCACACUGGAACUGAGACACGGUCCAGACUCCUACGGGAGGCAGCAGUAGGGAAUCUCCGCAAUGGGCGAAAGCCUGACGGAGCAACGCCGCGUGAGUGAUGAAGGUCUUCGGAUCGUAAAACUCUGUUAUUAGGGAAGAACAUAUGUGUAAGUAACUGUGCACAUCUUGACGGUACCUAAUCAGAAAGCCACGGCUAACUACGUG